rnacentral:misc_RNA from 1 species
CCGAGUGCGGGCCCCCGUGGCCCAACCUCCCACCCUUGUCGUUAAUACCUGUUGCUUUGGCGGGCCCACCGGGGCUCACCUGGUCGCCGGGGGGCGUCGUCCCCGGGCCCGCGCCCGCCGAAGCACCCUAGGAACCCUGAUGAAGUUGGGCCGUCUGAGUCGAUAUGAAAAUUGUCA